UAAAAAAACUUUUUAUGAUGCCGGUUAGUGACUCUCAGCUGGUAGCAAGAGCUUUGAUUGAAGACCAUAAAGAGGGGACUAAGAACUUGGCUUUUCAUGGAGGAGACAUGUUUAAGGCAAUACCUUCAGCUGAUGCAGUUUGCUCAAGUGGAUUCUGCAUGACUGGGGGAUAAAGAGAGCUUGAAGAUAUUAAAGAGGUGUAGAGAAGCGAUUCAUAGCAAAGAAAUGGGAGGGAAGGUGAUAAUAAUGAUCUGGUCAUGGGAAUGGAAGAUCAAAGUGAGGGGGCAAUAGAGACACAACUGAUUUGACAUGACGAUGAGUGUUUGUUCAACACCGGCAAAGAACGGAGCGUCGAAGAGUGGAAGAAGCUCUUCUUAGAAGCUGGUUUCACUCACUCUAAGAUAAGUCCUAUACUAGGUCUAAGGUCUCUCAUUGAGCUUUACCCUUGAUUUUUUUCUGCUAGUAUUUAUGUUUGUAAUAAGUUCAAUUCUAAUUACCAUGUUUCAUGAAUAGGAAUGUAUUCUAUUAAUUUUCAUGGAAUUGUUGUAGCACUGUGUA